GAUGAAGAACGUAGCGAAAUGCGAUAAGUAAUGUGAAUUGCAGAAUUCAGUGAGUCAUCGAAUCUUUGAACGCACAUUGCGCCCUUUGGCAUUCCGAAGGGCAUGCCUGUUCGAGCGUCAUUUAUCAACCCUCAAGCCCGGCUUGCGGUUGGGUCCCGCCGUGGGCGACCACGGCGGACCCGAAAGGUAAUGGCGGUGCCCGUGGGGCCCUGGACGCAGCGAGCUUCUCGGCACGCGUCCCGGCGGUCCCCGGCGCCGUCUCCACCAAUCCACCACGCAGAUUGACCUCGGAUCAGGUAGGGAUACCCGCUGAACUUAAGCAUAUCAAUAAGCGGAGGA
rnacentral:misc_RNA from 1 species